GCCUCUUUCACGGGCAAACAAAACACAAUUUGCCAUGGUGGAGAAAAAGUACACAAUACAAAUACUGGCGAAACAAUUUCAUGAAAACAGUCGAUGCGCCAAGCCAGCUGAGUGGGUCUUUUUAUUUUUUUCGCGGGAAAGUUUAUGUGGUGAACUGUGUUGGUAAAGAUGAAGAUGUCAGUCAAUGAAAUUUGCUAUAUUUCUUGUGUCUAACCAACCCUGUACGGAUCGAACUGACGAUUCCCGAGUGCGACAAAUGUCCUGAAGUCUGCUCCUAUUAGCUAGGUAUCUAGAAAUUUCAACUUGAGUGUCAAGUGAAGACUUUGCCAGUUGCAGAUGAGGGAAUUCUCGCUUCACGAUUUUCCUGGUGUGUGGAGAUACGUCGGAAUGCCGACCCACCACACCCGACAUGAUGCUUCGGCCGGAAUGCAGAAAGGAUCAUAUGUAGUGCCUUCUCAGCAUUACAUUACAUCCAUUGCGUAGCAGCAAUGUGCCAUCCUUCCGCGACUUAGGUGGAAUGACGUGCAAGUGGUGCUCCAGGGUCAACUUCAAUUUGCCCAGCACGUAUGCCGCUAGCUUGGGGUCAGCAGCUGGGUGCAAAGUCUCUGUAUACAAAUCGUGCACUGUCGUCAACAAUAUGGCAUCCUUGUCCAGCAAUUCCCGUCCUGUAGCGGCAAUGACUAUAAUAUUGGGGAAAUCACUCUCGGCACCUUCCGUGCUGUACUGAGAGAUGAUGCUUCGCAAUUGGUGGUCUGUGCUUGGUGCAUUGUCGGCAGGGAGCAUGUCAAUUUGCUUUUGGUAGCAGCGUCUACAAAAUCGA